UACGUAGGGGGCAAGCGUUGUCCGGAUUUAUUGGGCGUAAAGGGCGUGUAGGCGGUCUGUUUAGUCUGGGGUGAAAGCUCCCGGCUCAACUGGGAGAGGUCCUUGGAUACUGGCAGACUUGAGGGAGGUAGAGGAGAGUGGAAUUCCCGGUGUAGUGGUGAUAUGCGUAGAUAUCGGGAGGAACACCAGUGGCGAAGGCGGCUCUCUGGGCAUUACCUGACGCUGAGACGCGAAAGCGUGGGGAGCGAACAGG
rnacentral:rRNA from 1 species